AGGAAUUAAGCAAAAUUUAUAUUCACCUGUUUACCAAAAACAUGUCUUUUUGAUUUAUAAUUUAAAGUCUAUUCUGCCCAUUGAUUUAUUUUAAAAGGCUGCAGUAUUUCUGACUGUACAAAGGUAGCAUAAUCAAUAGUUUUUUAAUUGAAAACUAGAAUGAAAGAUUUAAUGAAAUAUAAACUGUCUUAAUUAUUAUUAUUGAAUUUUUAAUUUAAGUUAAAAUUCUUAGAUAUAAUUAAGGGACGAGAAGACCCUAUAGAAUUUAAUUAAUUAAGUUUAAUUAAUAAUUAAUAUUUUUAAUUUUAAAUUUAAUUAAUUUAGUUGGGAGGAUUUUUAAAUUUAAUUAACUUUAAUAUUUAUUUAUCAAUAAUUGUUGUAUUAAUAAAGAAUACUUAAAAUUUAAAGAAUAUUAGAUUAAAUUACCUUAGGGAUAACAGCGUAAUAUUUUUGGAAAGAUCAAAUUUAUAAAAAUGAUUGCGACCUCGAUGUUGAAUUAAGAUAAAUUUUAAGUGUAACAAUUUAAUUAUUAAGUCUGUUCGACUUUUAAAAUCUUACAUGAUUUGAGUUCAGAUCGGUGUGAGCCAGAUCGGUUUCUAUCUUUAAUAAAAUUAAAUAUUUUUGUACGAAAGGACU
rnacentral:rRNA from 1 species